AGCCUCCCUCCCACCCUUGGGAAGUGUGACUCCAAGUACUCAGCAAGAGAAUAAAGUAAAAGUUCACAAUAUACUUAAUACUGAAGUCCAUUAUGAGAAAAGAAAAAGGACAACAGAACUUCAGAAGGCAAACCAAUGGAUGGUUACCCAGCUGUAACCAUCCAAGUACUAAGGAAGCGCUUAAUACAGACAAGAAAUAAAAUAACUAGGUUAACAUCCAAACCCCUAAUCAAGUCAGAUUAAACCAUAAGGCUUAACAUCCCCAUGAGAAAUGUCUGAUUCAAGAAAUCAAACCUAAUCAUAAGAAAUGAGGAAGCCUGGGUAGGAAAAAUAAAAGAUGCAAUUAAAGCGCGCUAUUAGAUAUAAUUAACGUUUAUUUUCAUUUCUGGAAUGCAUUAUGAUGGGCACUUCAAAGGAGGGAAGACAGAUGCCAACUCACCGCCACAUUUCCACAAGUUUGAAAGGCAGUGAACAUAAACAUAAAGGCAACUCCUAAAAUAAUGAUGUUGAAAAGCUUUUUAGAUUCCGGGGACAUUUUGGCUCAGCUCUGCCGGAGGCAGCAGCCCAGGGCAGUCAGCUCUCCUCGGAGCGAAGCCACUGACAAUCCUGGAGAAAGAAAUGAGAUGGUGAGUGGAGAAGGCAGAUGCAGGAGCCAGGCAGCCAAGCUGUCAACUUCCAGUUCCUGGAUCGGAAUCCCAGGUUUAGGGCGAAGUUCCUCCCACCGGCAGUUAGGAUAUUCCUAAGAAGCGAUCCGAGUGCGGAAGAGCACAACCCCCGGAGAAGCCCCAAGAACGUAUCCGCUCCAGGUUGAGGGGCCCACGAAGGGGAUUAAAAGGGCCAAGGGCGAGCCGCAGCAACCGGCGCGGCCCCGCCCUCCCGGCCUGACUCACUGCGGUCAGGCGACCGGGUCACCUGACCGCAGCCGCGGCGCCGGCCGCUCAGCCCGCUGGGAAAGAUAGUUCCGGGUGGCCUGGCACGCGCAAGCGCUCCGCGGAGUCCCCACCGCCAGGACGCAGAGCCGACUGAGUUCUCGGGCUCUGACGAAAGGGGGUUGGGAAGCGGACUCCGGCGAAGAGCAGUCAGGAACUGCUGGACGGGGCCGAGAGACGACGCAGCGGGGUCUGAGGGGGCCGGGGUCACAGGGAGAGGAAUAUGAGGGCAGAAGCACUCUUCAGACAGAGACGGGGCUGAGGGCUGAGCAAAAAAGGGGCGUGAACUUGGAGUACUGGCAUGAAAAAAAAGUGGAGCCCAGAUGGGGAGCACCUUCUCUUCCUCCUACUCAAUCGCGAUCGUCCGGCUUCCCAGGCGGAAAAAGCGUUUCGCGGGCUUUCCAACUGCCCGCUAAUUCCGCUCCCCCUCCCUCCAGCCGUGACUCCGCGCUUUUUGUCCCGCCCGCCGGGCUGUGCGCAGGCGCUUCGGGUAGGGGCAGGGCGCGCGGCAGGGACGUUACAAAGCGAGGCGCGGUGGGCCAAUCAGAAGAUUUCAUUUCCGGGUGGCGCGGGCGCCAUUUUGUGAGGAGCGAUAUAAAUGGGCGCAGAGGCUGGCUGCCCGCCCAGUUGUUACUCAGGUGCGCUCGCCUGCGGAGUUCGUCUGUGCUGUACUCCGCCAAGGCCUUCCCCAGUGUACCCACGCGGAAGGCAACUGCCUAAGAGGCGCGGCGUCGCACCGCCCGGAGCUGAGGAAGCCGGCGCCAGUUCGCGGGGCUCCGGGCCGCCACUCAGAGCCAUGAGCUACGGCCGCCCCCCUCCCGAUGUGGAGGGUAUGACCUCCCUCAAGGUGGACAACCUGACCUACCGCACCUCGCCCGACACGCUGAGGCGCGUCUUCGAGAAGUACGGGCGCGUCGGCGAUGUGUACAUCCCGCGGGACCGCUACACCAAGGAGUCCCGCGGCUUCGCCUUCGUUCGCUUCCACGACAAGCGCGACGCCGAGGACGCUAUGGAUGCCAUGGACGGGGCCGUGCUGGACGGCCGCGAGCUGCGGGUGCAAAUGGCGCGCUACGGCCGCCCCCCGGACUCACACCACAGCCGCCGGGGACCGCCACCCCGCAGGUACGGGGGCGGUGGCUACGGACGCCGGAGCCGCAGCCCUAGGCGGCGUCGCCGCAGCCGAUCCCGGAGUCGGAGCCGUUCCAGGUCUCGCAGCCGAUCUCGCUACAGCCGCUCGAAGUCUCGGUCCCGCACUCGCUCCCGAUCUCGGUCGACCUCCAAGUCCAGAUCCGCGCGAAGGUCCAAGUCCAAGUCCUCGUCGGUGUCCAGAUCUCGCUCGCGGUCCAGGUCCCGAUCUCGGUCCAGGAGUCCUCCUCCGGUGUCCAAGAGGGAAUCCAAAUCCAGGUCGCGAUCGAAGAGUCCCCCCAAGUCUCCUGAAGAGGAAGGAGCGGUGUCCUCUUAAGAAAAUGCUGCGGUCUCCUGUUUGAUAAAAGAAUAUUGGCCAGUAUUGCAGAUUUUAACUGAUUUGGCUGAUCCUCCAGGGACCAGUUUCUGUGGGCGUGUAUUGGAGC